UUUGUUGGUUUCUUCGGGGGGGCCCCUUUGGAAGUAAAAGUCGUAACAAGGUUUCCGUAGGUGAACCUGCGGAAGGAUCAUUAAAAUGUAAAUUGACCAUUUAAACCCUUCUGUGUAUUUUACCUGUUUUUGGAUUGAUGGAAUUAGUAAAAUAUUCCAUAGAACAAAACUUCUUAAACCAUUAUUUGUAAUGUUAUUUGUCUGAUUUUGUAUAGAUAAAAGUUAAAACUUUCAACAACGGAUCUCUUGGUUCUCGCAUCGAUGAAGAACGCAGCGAAAUGCGAUAAGUAGUGUGAAUUGCAGAAUUCAGUGAAUCAUCGAAUCUUUGAACGCACAUUGCGCCUUCUGGUAUUCCGGGAGGCAUGCCUGUUUGAGCGUCAUUAAACCUUCCUCAAGCAGUUUUGCUUGGAUGUGAAGGAAGAGCACAUUGGAGGCUCUCCUUUGAAAUUUAUUAGUAGAUAUCAAGUUGUGAAUUACACUGUUUUGAUGUAAUAGUCUUUAUUGGUUGUGAUUUGUAUACAACUAUGUCUUGCUUUAACAUUUUUUUGGGCUGUUGAAUUGUAAGAGUUAUAUCUUAUUUGAAAAUAGCUGGAAAAAAUAUGAUUUUAUGGUGACCUCAAAUCAGGUAAGAACCCC
rnacentral:rRNA from 1 species